rnacentral:rRNA from 1 species
AGCGAACGCUGGCGGCAGGCCUAACACAUGCAAGUCGAACGAACCUUUCGGGGUUAGUGGCGGAGGGGUGGUGAACAAGUGGGGACGUGCCUGUAGGUUCGGAAUACCUCAGGGAAACUUGUGCUAAUACAGAAUGUGCCCUUCGGGGGUAAGAUUUAUCGCCUUUAGAGUGGCGGGCGUCAGAUUAGCUAGUUGGGUGAGGUAAUGGCACACCAAGGCGAGGUGGAGUAGCUGGUGUGAGAGGAGGAUCAGCCACAUUGGAGAUGCGACACGGCCCCAAAUCCUACGGGAGGCUGCAGUGGGGAAUCUUGCGCAAUGGGCGAAAGCCUGACGCAGCCAUGCCGGGUGAAUGAUGAAGGUCUUAGGAUUGUAAAAUUCUUUUACCGGGGACGAUAAUGACGGUAACCGGUAAAGAAGCCCCGGCUAACUACGUG